AGUGGGGAAUCUUGCGCAAUGGGCGAAAGCCUGACGCAGCCAUGCCGCGUGAAUGAUGAAGGUCUUAGGAUUGUAAAAUUCUUUCACCGGGGACGAUAAUGACGGUACCCGGAGAAGAAGCCCCGGCUAACUUCGUGCCAGCAGCCGCGGUAAUACGAAGGGGGCUAGCGUUGCUCGGAAUUACUGGGCGUAAAGGGAGCGUAGGCGGAUAGUUUAGUCAGAGGUGAAAGCCCAGGGCUCAACCUUGGAAUUGCCUUUGAUACUGGCUAUCUUGAGUACGGAAGAGGUAUGUGGAACUCCGAGUGUAGAGGUGAAAUUCGUAGAUAUUCGGAAGAACACCAGUGGCGAAGGCGACAUACUGGUCCGUUACUGACGCUGAGGCUCGAAAGCGUGGGGAGCAAA
rnacentral:rRNA from 1 species